CGGGGAGGUGUCGCAUCAUGGCGGCGGGGAGCGGUGUUGGGGCCGGUGCUGGCAGCGCUCGGGCCUCACAAAACGGCUCCAUUCUGGCUGAUAAAAGAGUAAAGAAGAGGAGGACCGAGAAUGAUAGCCUUUGGAAGCUGUGUGAAACCUGGGAGGGGGACACUGCAGGGAAUCCCUAAAGAGAAGAGGAAGAAGAGAAUAGUGCCAAUAAGGGAAAGAAGGGACUGAGAGUCAGAGCUGGAGCUGGUGAAGAAGAGAGGAGAUUUGUUUCAGGCAUUGCCAGGGGAGGACCUUGACAGGAUCGAGCAGAGCCUGGUUGUUACAGGGAGUGGUACAACUGUCACGACAGCUGUCCAGCACAAAGAGCAAACACGCUGUGGGAGAGUAACUUAUAAAGCUGCAGUUCGCCUUCUGACUCCUUCCUGAAUCUUGUUCCAGUGUGUGCUGGGCUGCAGGGCUUGCUGCUACUGCUGCUAGUCGCUUGAUAAACUUCCUCUCACUGAACAGGACCUGCUGCCUGAGACAGGCAGCUCUGUCCUUCAUGACCAGGCUGCAUCUCUGCAGGAGCCGCACUAAGAGCCAUACGCUGGCUCUCUGCUGCAUUGGUGUGUUCCUGAGCAUGUUUCCCCAGAGAAAAUAAACUCUCUCUUCUUUCCAGACCUC